GGGUUGUGAGGUUAAGCGACUAAGCGUACACGGUGGAUGCCCUGGCAGUCAGAGGCGAUGAAGGGCGUGCUAAUCUGCGAUAAGCGCCGGUAAGGUGAUAUGAACCGUUAUAACCGGCGAUACCCGAAUGGGGAAACCCAGUGUGAUUCGUCACACUAUCAUUAACUGAAUCCAUAGGUUAAUGAGGCGAACCGGGGGAACUGAAACAUCUAAGUACCCCGAGGAAAAGAAAUCAACCGAGAUUCCCCCAGUAGCGGCGAGCGAACGGGGAGGAGCCCAGAGCCUGAAUCAGCAUGUGUGUUAGUGGAAGCGUCUGGAAAGGCGCGCGAUACAGGGUGACAGCCCCGUACACAAAAGCGCAUGUGCUGUGAGCUCGAUGAGUAGGGCGGGACACGUGGUAUCCUGUCUGAAUAUGGGGGGACCAUCCUCCAAGGCUAAAUACUCCUGACUGACCGAUAGUGAACCAGUACCGUGAGGGAAAGGCGAAAAGAACCCCGGCGAGGGGAGUGAAAAAGAACCUGAAACCGUGUACGUACAAGCAGUGGGAGCACCCUUUGGGGUGUGACUGCGUACCUUUUGUAUAAUGGGUCAGCGACUUAUAUUCUGUAGCAAGGUUAACCGAAUAGGGGAGCCGGAGGGAAACCGAGUCUUAAUUGGGCGUUAAGUUGCAGGGUAUAGACCCGAAACCCGGUGAUCUAGCCAUGGGCAGGUUGAAGGUUGGGUAACACUAACUGGAGGACCGAACCGACUAAUGUUGAAAAAUUAGCGGAUGACCUGUGGCUGGGGGUGAAAGGCCAAUCAAACCGGGAGAUAGCUGGUUCUCCCCGAAAGCUAUUUAGGUAGCGCCUCGUGAAUUCAUCUCCGGGGGUAGAGCACUGUUUCGGCUAGGGGGCCAUCCCGGCUUACCAACCCGAUGCAAACUGCGAAUACCGGAGAAUGUUAUCACGGGAGACACACGGCGGGUGCUAACGUCCGUCGUGAAGAGGGAAACAACCCAGACCGCCAGCUAAGGUCCCAAAGUCAUGGUUAAGUGGGAAACGAUGUGGGAAGGCCCAGACAGCCAGGAUGUUGGCUUAGAAGCAGCCAUCAUUUAAAGAAAGCGUAAUAGCUCACUGGUCGAGUCGGCCUGCGCGGAAGAUGUAACGGGGCUAAACCAUGCACCGAAGCUGCGGCAGCGAACGUAUCACCCAAGACAACUUUACGGAGUUGACGAUUGACGGAGCGAAGCGACGUCAAAGCGUUCAUUAAAGUCGAGUUGGCUUAGGGAUACGUUCGUUGGGUAGGGGAGCGUUCUGUAAGCCUGUGAAGGUGUGUCGUGAGGCAUGCUGGAGGUAUCAGAAGUGCGAAUGCUGACAUAAGUAACGAUAAAGCGGGUGAAAAGCCCGCUCGCCGGAAGACCAAGGGUUCCUGUCCAACGUUAAUCGGGGCAGGGUGAGUCGACCCCUAAGGCGAGGCCGAAAGGCGUAGUCGAUGGGAAACGGGUUAAUAUUCCCGUACUUGGUGUUACUGCGAAGGGGGGACGGAGAAGGCUAUGUUGGCCGGGCGACGGUUGUCCCGGUUUAAGCGUGUAGGUGUGUGUUCCAGGUAAAUCCGGUUCACUUUAACACUGAGGCGUGACGACGAGGCACUACGGUGCUGAAGCAACAAAUGCCCUGCUUCCAGGAAAAGCCUCUAAGCAUCAGGUAACAUCAAAUCGUACCCCAAACCGACACAGGUGGUCAGGUAGAGAAUACCAAGGCGCUUGAGAGAACUCGGGUGAAGGAACUAGGCAAAAUGGUGCCGUAACUUCGGGAGAAGGCACGCUGACACGUAGGUGAAGUGAUUUACUCAUGGAGCUGAAGUCAGUCGAAGAUACCAGCUGGCUGCAACUGUUUAUUAAAAACACAGCACUGUGCAAACACGAAAGUGGACGUAUACGGUGUGACGCCUGCCCGGUGCCGGAAGGUUAAUUGAUGGGGUCAGCGCAAGCGAAGCUCCUGAUCGAAGCCCCGGUAAACGGCGGCCGUAACUAUAACGGUCCUAAGGUAGCGAAAUUCCUUGUCGGGUAAGUUCCGACCUGCACGAAUGGCGUAAUGAUGGCCAGGCUGUCUCCACCCGAGACUCAGUGAAAUUGAACUCGCUGUGAAGAUGCAGUGUACCCGCGGCAAGACGGAAAGACCCCGUGAACCUUUACUAUAGCUUGACACUGAACAUUGAGCCUUGAUGUGUAGGAUAGGUGGGAGGCUUUGAAGUGUGGACGCCAGUCUGC
rnacentral:rRNA from 1 species